AACGAACGCUGGCGGCAGGCCUAACACAUGCAAGUCGAACGCGUGUAGCAAUACACGAGUGGCAGACGGGUGAGUAACACGUGGGAACGUGCCCUUCGGUUCGGAAUAACUCAGGGAAACUUGAGCUAAUACCGGAUACGCCCUUACGGGAAGAUUUAUCGCCGAUAGGAUCGGCCCGCGUCUGAUUAGCUAGUUGGUGAGGUAACGGCUCACCAAGGCGACGAUCAGUAGCUGGCUGAGAGGGAUGAUCAGCCACACUGGGACUGAGACACGGCCCAGACUCCUAC
rnacentral:rRNA from 1 species